GAUGAACGCUGGCGGCGUGCCUAAUACACGCAAGUCGAGCGAACGGACGAGAAGCUUGCUUCUCUGAUGUUAGCGGCGGACGGGUGAGUAACACGUGGAUAACCUACCUAUAAGACUGGGAUAACUUCGGGAAACCGGAGCUAAUACCGGAUAAUAUUUUGAACCGCAUGGUUCAAAAGUGAAAGACGGUCUUGCUGUCACUUAUAGAUGGAUCCGCGCUGCAUUAGCUAGUUGGUAAGGUAACGGCUUACCAAGGCAACGAUGCAUAGCCGACCUGAGAGGGUGAUCGGCCACACUGGAACUGAGACACGGUCCAGACUCCUACGGGAGGCAGCAGUAGGGAAUCUUCCGCAAUGGGCGAAAGCCUGACGGAGCAACGCCGCGUGAGUGAUGAAGGUCUUCGGAUCGUAAAACUCUGUUAUUAGGGAAGAACAUAUGUGUAAGUAACUGUGCACAUCUUGACGGUACCUAAUCAGAAAGCCACGGCUAACUACGUGCCAGCAGCCGCGGUAAUACGUAGGUGGCAAGCGUUAUCCGGAAUUAUUGGGCGUAAAGCGCGCGUAGGCGGUUUUUUAAGUCUGAUGUGAAAGCCCACGGCUCAACCGUGGAGGGUCAUUGGAAACUGGAAAACUUGAGUGCAGAAGAGGAAGGUGGAAUUCCAUGUGUAGCGGUGAAAUGCGCAGAGAUAUGGAGGAACACCAGUGGCGAAGGCGACUUUCUGGUCUGUAACUGACGCUGAUGUGCGAAAGCGUGGGGAUCAAACAGGAUUAGAUACCCUGGUAGUCCACGCCGUAAACGAUGAGUGCUAAGUGUUAGGGGGUUUCCGCCCCUUAGUGCUGCAGCUAACGCAUUAAGCACUCCGCCUGGGGAGUACGACCGCAAGGUUGAAACUCAAAGGAAUUGACGGGGACCCGCACAAGCGGUGGAGCAUGUGGUUUAAUUCGAAGCAACGCGAAGAACCUUACCAAAUCUUGACAUCCUUUGACAACUCUAGAGAUAGAGCUUUCCCCUUCGGGGGACAAAGUGACAGGUGGUGCAUGGUUGUCGUCAGCUCGUGUCGUGAGAUGUUGGGUUAAGUCCCGCAACGAGCGCAACCCUUAAGCUUAGUUGCCAUCAUUAAGUUGGGCACUCUAAGUUGACUGCCGGUGACAAACCGGAGGAAGGUGGGGAUGACGUCAAAUCAUCAUGCCCCUUAUGAUUUGGGCUACACACGUGCUACAAUGGACAAUACAAAGGGCAGCGAAACCGUGAGGCCAAGCAAAUCCCAUAAAGUUGUUCUCAGUUCGGAUUGUAGUCUGCAACUCGACUACAUGAAGCUGGAAUCGCUAGUAAUCGUAGAUCAGCAUGCUACGGUGAAUACGUUCCCGGGUCU
rnacentral:rRNA from 1 species